rnacentral:rRNA from 1 species
GAGGAAUAUUGGUCAAUGGGCGCGAGCCUGAACCAGCCAAGUAGCGUGCAGGAUGACGGCCCUAUGGGUUGUAAGCUGCUUUUGUAUGGGGAUAAAGUCAAUCACGUGUGAUUGUUUGCAGGUACCAUACGAAUAAGGACCGGCUAAUUCCGUGCCAGCAGCCGCGGUAAUACGGAAGGUCCGGGCGUUAUCCGGAUUUAUUGGGUUUAAAGGGAGCGUAGGCCGGAGAUUAAGUGUGUUGUGAAAUGUAGACGCUCAACGUCUGACUUGCAGCGCAUACUGGUUUCCUUGAGUACGCACAACGUUGGCGGAAUUCGUCGUGUAGCGGUGAAAUGCUUAGAUAUGACGAAGAACUCCGAUUGCGAAGGCAGCUGACGGGAGCGCAACUGACGCUUAAGCUCGAAGGUGCGGGUAUCGAACAGGAUUAGAUACCCUGGUAGUCCGCACAGUAAACGAUGGAUGCCCGCUGUUGGUACCUGGUAUCAGCGGCUAAGCGAAAGCAUUAAGCAUCCCACCUGGGGAGUACGCCGGCAACGGUG